UUGAGCUAACCGGUACUAAUGAACCGUGAGGCUUAACCUUACAACGCCGAAGAUGUUUUGGCGGAUUGAGAGAAUUUUCAGCUUAGAUACAGAUUUUCGGGAACGAAAGAUUUUACGCUGAGGCAAGGCGGCAAAUGAAGGAAAGGAAGGAGCAUACAUGAGUAUGUGACUGACUUUGCGAAUGCAGCCAACGCAGCCACAGUGAAAAAGAUUCGUUUCCGGCAACAGAAUUUGCCUGGCGGCUUUAGCGCGGUGGUCCCACCUGACCCCAUGCCGAACUCAGAAGUGAAACGCCGUAGCGCCGAUGGUAGUGUGGGGUCUCCCCAUGUGAGAGUAGGGAACUGCCAGGC
rnacentral:rRNA from 1 species